AGGAUCCUGUUCCGGCAGAGGUUACCGGAUGGACAACGAGCAACGAACCGUUAUUGAUUUUACAUGCCCUGAGGUCUUUCGUUCUUAACCUGGCUGUGCAUUUUCGGCAACUUCAUCCUUCUGACAUAAUGAUAUAGACGCCAUGUGAUAACACCCGGCCAUCCACAUCAAGAGCGGCGGUUAGUGGGGGACAACCUCAACAAACCCUCCGCUACCAUCAACCUCCUCGGGGGUAAAGCAGCACGGGAAUGGAUCCUACUGGAGCUUCAGCCUCUUCCCGGGUAACUGAAGCCUGUAUUGGCCGGAUGUGUCAGAGAUUUCAAGGACUGUGUGUCUGUCUACCGACAUGAGAUGACAGAAGGACACCAUUACCUACCUUCACAGUCCUGCAGGGGUGACAGUGAAAAGACUGAGUUCCAACCACGCCCUUGGGGAGAGGGUCACACACCAUGGGAAGAUGAGGAGAAUGAUGAGGUGAUGGAGCCCCUACUUCAGGAAGCCCAUGCCCUGAACGCUCCGUUUAUCCUUGCCCGGGACCAACACUGGGACGUGUUUUCAACUUAUAACGUCCCCAUCACUAAUUCUGUAUCUGUUGGUGAGUUGAUGGAAUGCGCUAGGGAUAUGUAUCUGUACGGGAGUCUGGAGGGAUACUGUUCACAAGUCCCAGUCCUCGGGUUUAAUUCGGCUCGCUAUGAUUUGAGUAUCAUUAAGGAGAAGCUUCCCGAACAUCACUCUCUCGACGAGCAGGAAUCUCGGGCUUUCACUGUCAAGAAAAACAAUGCUUACUUGUGCCCAAAUGAUCUGUGAUUCAAAUUUCUUUCGCUAUGAUUUGAGUAUCAUUAAGGAGAAGCUUCCCGAACAUCACUCUCUCGACGAGCAGGAAUCUUGGGCUUUCACUGUCAAGAAAAACAAUGCUUACUUGUGCCCAAAUGAUCUGUGAUUCAAAUUUCUUGAUGUCACACUGUAUCUCUCACCCGGAACCAGUUAUGCGCAAUUUCUAAAAGCGUUCGAGUCGAAGACAAAGAAGGGAUUUUUCCCAUACGAGCUCUCGACACUCCGGAAAAGCUGAAAGAGACUCAACUUCCACCUUUAGGCGAGGCUUGGUAUUCCAGCCUCAAACGAAAUCCGUCCUCAACGAUGGCUUGAAGUCCAUGAAGCAGAAAUAUGCCGACCUCGAGGCCAUCUGAAGACGGGGAGGGAUGUCUACGUUUCAAGAUUUCCUUGAGUGGUAUAACAAUCUUGACGUAGGUCCCUUUGUAGAAGCCAUGGAAGCCAUGUACCAGGUGUAUUUCGAGGUCAGCAUCAACCUUUUUAAAACCACUAUGUUGGUGUGCCCUGACAGACACUGUUCCAGGAGAGCCAAAGAAAGGGGAUCUUGCUUUGAUAAAAGCAACAAAGAUCUCUAUCACACCAUGAAAGGCAACGUGGUCGGCGGACCUUUUAGUAUUUUCACAAGGUACCACAAAGCCGAUCAGACGUUGAUCAGAGGCCAUCCUUAUAAACGGUGUAAAAGGGUCGCUUGCUAUGAUGCAAAGCGUUAUACUUGUGGGCCAUAGAUCAGCCCAUGCCCACUGGUCCUUUUGUGCGCAGGAAAGCUGAGAUGUCGUUCAAGCCCGAACUCAGGGACAGACACACGUCCAUGUAUUAUUGGAUGGAUUGGUUGAGGGACAAAGAAGGGCGGGACAUGCGGAACAAAUUAAAUUGGAGCGGGAAAGACGAGUUGGACCGUCCUUGGUGGAUGGGUACAAGCUUGUUGAAAUGUGGGAAUGUGAAUUCCUCGCACAAUGUAGAACCAAUCGAGAGCUUGCUUCGUUUAUCCGGGCCCAACAUUCACCCUGUUAUCAAAAGAAGGGGUGGACCGUCUCGGAGCGAGAGAUUUUGAAGACUGGGGAAAUGGUGGAACUGUUUGGCAUGGUGAAAGUGGACAUUCACGUUCCCGAUCAGUAGAUCCCCAUACAGAACCCUCAGGCACUCGUCUCUCCCCGGGGGAGUACUUUCAAGAGAUGACUCCCUUGUUUCGCAACGCACAAGUUCAAUUCGAGGUUCUCGGGGAACACAUGGAGGAAUACAUCAGGUAGAACGACUUGAGUACAAAACCAUGUCGUAUGUUCGCCGGCGGGUUAAAGGCACGAAACAUGUUGAUUGCCACCCCAAUGUUGUAGUGGUAUUUACAAUAGCGCAUGGUGGUCGAUCGAGUGUACAAAGUCAUCCAGUACAUUUCGAACGUGUGCGUUCGUCAGUUUGUUCGGGACGUGUGCUCAGCCAGGCAAGAUGCCAACCGAGAUCCCUCAGCAGCCAUUUGCGGCAAUACUGCCAAACUCACGGGUAACUCAGCGUAUGGAUCGGUCCUGAUUAAUAAAGAGAAACAAGCAAAGAAGGUCUUACAUCUCGAUACUCCCCUGCAGUAUGCCAAACUGCGCAUGCUUCAAUUUUACUACGAUUUCAUGGACGUGUGAUUUUGAAUAUAUGGAAAUGGACAUGGACAGCGCUUACAUGACUUUUAGUGUGAGGUGUCUGUCUGAUGUUGUCAAACCCCGACAAAAAAAUCCAAACAAUAAUUGAUAAUAACAUGUAAACACAUCGAGAAUUAAUGUUUUAUUGAAUAAAAAUGGUAAACGUU
rnacentral:lncRNA from 1 species